GCAUUUCCAAAUCCCGCGGGAUUACCCAUCAUACCCCCCCAACCUUUCCAUCUGUCCUGACAUAUUUAACCCCUGCUAGUAGCCAUGAGAACCAUAACACACCCACAAACACAGAACACAAUACCGGGUCGUUACAAUAUAUAUAUACAUUUUAUUUGUGUUGUUGUCUAUCACUUGUUUUCUUUGGUGCAAAUAAAUAAAUAAAAUAAUUAAGACCGGGAGAUGUUUUGCACAGGCGAGUGAAUACCAUACCGUAACGUUAGGUCGAGAGCCCUGUUUAACAAGCUGUUGGACUGGUUCAAACCGCUAUUUGGGGAGCGAAAUGGAGGCAAGUGGUGAGGUUGCGGCGAUGGAGGACAUGCAGGGAAGGUUGGAGAAGCAACAGCUGGACGGAAUCAUGGUAGAAGCAGACGUGGUUGGUUGGUUCUGACGGCGCGUUGAGCAAGCUCCGCGAGGGCGAGUGGGAGACCGUGGCAACGAAAAAGAGAGGAGAAAUAACAAAAGCGGUGGCGGCAUGCACCUCUAAAAAAAGAAGAAAGAAAAAAGCAGAAGAAGAAGAAAGGCCGUGUUUAAUGAGGACCACAACACUCUCAUGGCCAUCAACGAGCAGCACACGCUGCGCUGGUGGAAGAAUCACCACAGAACGGGCAUUCCCACUGACUGGUCUCAGUUCCAGGUGCAACACACACACAGCGGGCUAAUGGAAGUUAAUGGGGCCAAAUGGACUGUACUGUAAUAUGGGAUGAUGUAGACUUCAGCCCCUUUGCAAUUGUCAGAGUUAGUCUAAUGUAGUGAACAGUGUUACAAGCUAAUGUAGCACAUUGUGUAACAGUAGUGCUUGGCGCAACAAUGUGACCAUUAUGAGAGACUGCUGGAGGGUAAUAUACUGGGCCAGCCUGCCUUGUUGUUCAAAGGAGUCUAAUGAAACCUCUUUUAGGAGUGGGCACCGGAAAAGAGGGAAGGGAAGAAAGAGCAAAGCACAGCAAAGCACAAUAGAGAUGAUCAUGUCUCCAUCUGUCUUCGUGACCUCAUGCAACAGCACAACUAUCAUUCAGGAGUUACCAUCUCAGUACGACGAAUCAUCAAUUCCUAAGUACUGAUUGGUUUGUUCAUUUUUUGUAAAUAGUGUUAUUGUAUUGUUGAUUUACAGUUACAGUACCAGUCAAAAGUUUGGACACACCUACUCAAGGGUUUUUCUUUAUUUUUGCUAUUUUCUACAUUGUAGAAUAAUAGUGAAUACAUCAAAACGAUGAAACAAAACAUAGGGAAUCAUGUAGUAACCAAAAAAAGUGUUAAACAAAUCAAAAUAUAUUUUAUAUUUGAGAUUCUUAAAACUAGCCACCCUUGCCUUGAUGUUAACAACCCUCCAGACGAGCUUCAAUGCAAUUCAACUCUCCUUCCGUGGCCUCCAAUUGCUCUUAAAUACAAGUAAAACUAAAUGCAUGCUCUUCAACCGAUCGCUGCCCGCACCUGCCCGCCUGUCCAACAUCACUAUUCUGGACGGUUCUGACUUAGAAUAUGUGGACAACUACUAAUACCUAGGUGUCUGGUUAGACUGUAAACUCUCCUUCCAGACUCACAUCAAACAUCUCCAAUCCAAAGUUAAAUCUAGAAUUGGCUUCCUAUUUCGCAACAAAGCAUCCUUCACUCAUGCUGCCAAACAUACCCUUGUAAAACUGACCAUCCUACCGAUCCUCGACUUCGGCGAUGUCAUUUACAAAAUAAUCUCCAAUACCCUACUCAAUAAAUUGGAUGCAGUCUAUCCCAGUGCCAUCCGUUGUCACCAAAGCCCCAUAUACUACCCACCACUGUGACCUGUACGCUCUCGUUGGCUGGCCCUCGCUUCAUACUCGUCACCAAACCUACUGGCUCCAGGUCAUCUACAAGACCCUGCUAGGUAAAGUCCCCCCUUAUCUCAGCUCGCUGGUCACCAUAGCAGCACCCACCUGUAGCACGCGCUCCAGCAAGUAUAUCUCUCUGGUCACCCCCAAAACCAAUUCUUUUUUUGGUCGCCUCUCCUUCCAGUUAUCUGCUGCCAAUAACUGGAACUAACUACAAAAAUCUCUGAAACUGGAAACACUUAUCUCCCUCACUAGCUGCACCAGCUGUCAGAGCAGCUCACAGAUUACUGCACCUGUACAUAGCCCAUCUAUAAUUUAGCCCAAACAACUACCUCUCCCCCCAACUACCUACUGUAUUUAUUUAUUUAUUUUGCUCCUUUGCACCCCAUUAUUUCUAUCUCUACUUUGCACAUUCUUCCACUGCAAAUCUACCAUUCCAGUGUUUUACUUGCUAUAUUGUAUUUACUUUGCCACCAUGGCCUUUUUUUUGCCUUUACCUCCCUUAUCUCACCUCAUUUGCUCACAUUGUAUAUAGACUUAUAUUUCUACUGUAUUAUUGACUGUAUGUUUGUUUUACUCCAUGUGUAACUCUGUGUUGUUGUAUGUGUCGAACUGCUUUGCUUUAUCUUGGCCAGGUCGCAAUUGUAAAUGAGAACUUGUUCUCAACUUGCCUACCUGGUUAAAUAAAGGUGAAAUAAAUAAAUAAAAUAAAAUGA